GGUUUUAGAUAGUGCAUUAAGUUUGAAUUGUUACUGAACAACAAUGGUUUCCAAUUCUGAUGAUGGUCACAUAGAUGAGGCUGUUAAUCUGAAGAAAAAGAUUACUCUUGCAAACGGCGUAGCUUUAAUUGUGGGAAAUAUCAUUGGUUCUGGAAUCUUUCUUACUCCAAAGGGUGUUCAACAGGAAUGUGGAUCUCCCGGUCUCAGUUUAAUAAUUUGGGGAAUAUGUGGUGUUUUCUCUCUCGUAGGUGCACUUUGCUAUGCUGAAUUAGGCACAACCAUUGUCAAAUCUGGUGCCAGCUAUGCUUAUAUUCUUGAAGCAUUUGGUCCAUUAAUUGGUUUUGUUCGAUUAUGGAUCUCAGUGUUAAUCAUUGAACCAACUGUUCAAGCUGCCAUUGCUAUAACUUUUGCUAUCUAUCUUAUUCAACCUUUCUUCCCAACAUGCGAACCCCCCUUUGUUGCUGUGAGGUUGAUUGCAGCGUUAUGUGUUACAAUCAUUCUUGUCAUGAACUGUUGGAGUGUUCGAUAUGGUACAAGAAUCCAAGAUAUUUUCGCCUAUGCAAAGGUCAUAGCAUUAAUAAUAAUUAUAAUUGCUGGCAUUGUAUCGCUUGCCAAGUAUGGAACAUCAGUUGGAUCAUUUUCUAAACCUUGGGCUGAAACAAAUACAAACAUUGGAAGCUUGACUUUGGCGAUGUACUCUGGUCUCUACUCAUAUGCUGGUUGGGAUACGCUUAAUUUCAUGGUUGAGGAACUCAAAGAUCCGUAUCGAAAUUUACCUCUAGCUAUUUAUAUAUCAAUGCCAAUUUGUACAAUCAUAUACUUACUCGCAAAUGUGGCAUAUUAUGCAGUUUUAACACCCACCGAAAUUGUUGCAUCUGAUGCUGUUGCUGUUGGUUUUGCCAACAGAACACUGGGUGUUGUAAGUUGGAUUAUUCCCAUUUCUGUUGCCAUGUCAACAUUCGGUGCUCUUAACUCUUCCCUCAUGGCUUCUUCUCGUUUAUUUUUUGUUGGAGCAAGAGAAAAACAGCUUCCUGAUUACUUUGCAAUGGUCAGUCCUGAUCGAUUUACUCCUGUCCCAAGUCUUCUACUCUCUGGCACAUUGACAUUACUUUACCUAUUUGUAGAAGAUGUUUUUACCUUAAUUAACUACUACAGCUUCAUGUAUUGGUUGACCGUUGGCUUAGCAAUUGCCGGCCAAAUCUAUCUUCGUUACACAAAACCUGAAUUGCCUCGACCUUUAAAAGUCAACAUUUUGUUUCCUAUAACAUUCUGCCUUGCAUGUUUAGUUUUAGUCAUUGUACCAUUUUACCAGGAUCCGAUUGGUUCCUUGAUAGGCUCAGCAAUCCUCCUGACUGGAAUUCCAGUUUACUUUUACUUCAUAUACAUCAAUCCUAACCGUCGGCCUCAGCUCCUUUACACAAUAAUGCAUGUGUUCACAUGUUUGAUGCAAAAGAUGUUCCCAGUAGUAAUGUCUGAAUCUAAUUUGGAUGAAGAGUUUUAAAUUUUAAUUUUUUGGUGCCGUUUAUGCUAAAUUGUGCUUUAUUGUUAAAAAUGCCAUUUGCACAAACACAUAAAAUAUGACAUAGUAACACAACUUUUUUAUACAUACCCGCCUGUUGAAUUACUCUUUUUAAAACAAGAAAUUAAGUGAUUGCCAAUUAUAUACACAAAUACAAACAGGCGAUGUUGCAAUGUGCUUGCUUCUAGUUGCUGCUUAUUUAGUUUUAGGUGUAAGUGUUAUUAAUAUUUAUCCUUAAUGUUGCUUGCUACCUUUACAUUUUGCUUCAGUGUUUAUUUAAACAAAAUAAUGUUUAUGAUUGUAUAUGUAUGUUGCAAUAUUUUAUAACACAUCCCUUUCAAAAGUUAACAAAUUAAUCAGUUCUUUGCUCUUUAUUAAAAACAAAAAUACAAAACUUUAGCGCUUUUUAAUGAAACGUGCUUCUUCAAAUCACAAAUGGCUUACUGUGCUAACAAAACUAAUGUUUGACUCCUAUUUUUUCAGCAGCCAUUCCAGUAAUACUGUCAAGUCGUAAAUUAAAUACCUAUUAAUUUGUUACUGUAGCUUAAUGCAGUGUAUUUCAAUUACAAAAUCGGUACAUUAUUUAAACAGUAGUAACAUGCUUUAUUACUAAUGAAUUGGUAAUGGGUUAUUUCUGAUUAAGUUUGCUUUAUUUCACAUUUCA